ACCGCAAAUGAACAUAUCCACAAUCUUCAAACAUUCGUCUAAUUGACGCAUCUAAACCUGCAAGAGAGUUUCCAACAUACAACUUCGCUUGCCUCACUAUUCAGAUCAGCAACGCAGCACACAGAACUCGUAUAUUAGGUGUACAACAAAAUUCUCAAAAGACUCAAAGUUUCAAGGAGACACAAUCCAUUGAUUUAGCUGGUGAUUUUAGUAAAGGUGAAAAUGGAGAAUUGAACUUUGUUAGGGAAGAUAGAGGGAGUUUUGAUUUGCAAGAUCUUCCAUCUGCAGCACAUCGACACAACUUUAUCCUUCAAGCAGAUCCUCCAUCUUUAAUAUCAACUUUCAGCACUGAUUUCCUCCAAUCUUCAACGCAAUCGCAAACACCGACGCGAGCUUCACCUCACGGACCACAUCAUCAUCAUCGGCGAAAACGAAAACUGACACACAACUUCAACGAUUCGAGAACACAGGUGAGCUCACGCAGCAACGUCAUUGAUCAUCAUUAUCUGAUUCAAUCUACAAUAACGAUUCAGGACGCUUCUCUGACGAUAUUUUUGCUCAUUUUUAACCAAAACCAAAGCCACCCUAAUUCUCACCCUCAAAACGAGGUUGAGAUUCUAUCUGAUUACUAAUCAAGUGUUAUUUUUAUUGCGUGCUUGUAUCACACCCAAGUAAAUUUGAACUUUCAAACGUGAGAGAUGGAUGCAUGGAAAGUGUUUGUAAAAAUGUCUGUUUGAACUUUGAAGGACUUCUUCAUAUACACCUUCUGCAAGGAAAGGAUCUCGACCUGCUCAUUGUCAUUUUUCUUUAAGAAUUGGCUGUGAGGAAACUACUAGAGAAAUCAGACGUAUCGAGCAAGUUUUCAAUUCAAGGUUUUUUAAGCAUUAUGGUAAACCCUUCUUCCUCAUUAUUCAUCCUAUUUCCUCAAAUCAAACUUUAGUUCAAUUUGCAGAGAAUCCUCUGUUCCAAUCCAACGUUUUUCAACCAUUAUGGUAAACCCCUCACCCUCAAUCUAUACAUUUAAUUUCAAAUUUCAAAUUUCUAAUGUUUAGAUUAUUUUCACUUUAGAACUUUUGAUUGGGAUUGGGGUUUUAUAUUGGUGUUCAAAUCAGAAUUUGGGUUUGUUGAUUUUCAAAUGUUUGUGUUUGUGGAACUGAAGUUGAAAUUUUGGGCAGGAAACACCGUUUAUGACAGGGCUGGUUGUGGCUGCAGCAGCUUAUGCAGGUAGAUAUGGUAUCCAGGCUUGGCAAAGCAUUCAAGGCUAGACCGGCUGGGAUGUGUAAAUUUUAUGAAGGUGGUUUUCAUGCUACCAUGAAUAAGAGGGAAGCAGUUCUCAUCCUUGGUGUUAGAUCCACAGUGGUUUCUCCAACUAAAUUGUUGGAUUCACACUCUAUUUGCUAGUUGUGUAAGUGUGUUUGGAGUCUAGGCUGAAUAUAUGCAGUGUACUUAUGAUUCAAAAGGAAACAGUGUCCCUACUAUACUCAUGUUAAUGCAGGACCAUUUAUAUUCAUAGGGAGGAUUGAAGGUACUGAGGGUGUAUGAUCAUAUUAUAACAUUGUUAAGGCCCUGUGAAAAAGGUAACCCGAUAACUACUUUGACUUUGCUUGAGAAGAUGAAGUCGGUGUACACGAAUGUAGAAGGUCUUCCUCCGGAUUGAAUUGUGGAAAGCAAUUGCUUCUCCAGGGCGUGGUAUUUUGGCCAUGGAUGAAUCCAAUGGUACAUGUGGAAAGCAGUUGGAUUCAAUUGGACUAGAGAACAACCGAAGCUAACCGUCAAGCACGGCGUAAAAUUAUAUAUGAAGAAAGUGUUAUAACUUGGUUAAAAUAUAAUUUUUACGUAGUACUUGAAAUAUUUUUAUGUAGUACUUGAAAUAUUAUGAAUGCACAUGAUUUUGUAUA